GUUUGAAUGGUGUCUGUGAGUAUAACAGAACUCCUAUGGCAGGCAAAAACCUGACAAGGUUUCAUGCAGGAAGUGGCCUGUUUGACAAGGAGUCGUGCGUCUUGCAUCUGUUUAUUGAAGAGUAAUGAUCUUAGCUGUAACGUGACAAUUCCCAGGGCUCCAAUAGGCUCUCAGGACCCGGGAAAAUCAUGAAGGUUGACGAGGAAGCCUCAGGCUGAAACAGAUUAUCACCUUAUCCAAGUGUCCCAUUAGGUGACAAUGGAAUGAGGCGCGUGCGCGAUUAGCCCCCGUGGAGUAUUUUAAUUCGGCUGUUUAGUUUAUUGCAGAUUCCCGGUCGGAAUAUUAUCGCUUUUCUACGAGAUAAAUGGCAUAAAAAUUGGUUUUAAACAGCGGUUGACAUGCUUCGAAGUACGGUAAUGGAAUAUUUAGACAUUUUUUGUCACGCCAUGCGCCAUGCGCACGAACGUGGAUUACCAUUCGUAUAGUGUCUAGAACGCACGAACAAAACGACGCUAUUUGGAUAUAACUAUGGAUUAUUUGGGACCAAACCUACAUUUGUUAUUGAAGUAGAAGUCCUGGGCGUGUAUUCUGACGAAGAACAGGAAAGGACCUGAGCCCUAGGACCAUGCCUCAGGACUACCUUGCAUGAUGACUCCUUGCUGUCCCCAGUCCACCUGGCCAUGCUGCUGCUCCAGUUUCAACUGUUCUGCCUGCGGCUAUGGAACCCUGACCUGUUCACCGGACGUGCUUGUUGCACCCUCGACAACUACUAUGAUUAUUAUUAUUUGACCAUGCUGGUCAUUUAUGAACAUUUUAACAUCUUGACCAUGUUCUGUUAUAAUAUCCACCCGGCACAGUCAGAAGAGGACUGGCCACCCCUCAUAGCCUGGUUCCUCUCUAGGUUUCUUCCUAGGUUUUUGGCCUUUCUAGGGAGUUUUUCCUAGGGAGUUUUUCCUAGCCACCGUGCUUCUUUCACAUGCAUUGCUUGCUGUUUGUGGUUUUAGGCUGGUUUUCUGUACAGCACUUUGAGAUAUCAGCUGAUGUACGAAGGGCUAUAUAAAUACAUUUGAUUUGAUGUGCAUCAAUAAAAGUGCAAUUUAAAAUCAAAGGACCAGACGAAACAGGACAGAUAAAAAGAGGGAGGGUUUGGGUUUAGGAUAAAUGUUUAGGGGGUAGGGUUGGGAAUAGGAUACGGACCCAGUUUAGGGUAAGGAAUUGAGUUUGGGGGGGACACAUAGGGAUAAAUACACUCUUAGAAAAAAAGCUUCUAAGUAGAACCAUAUAGGGUUCUUCGGUUUGUCCCCAUAGGAGAAACCUUUUUGGUGCUAGGUAGAACCCUCUAUGAAGGGUUCUUCAUAGAAAUGUCUGUUGAAGAUGUACUCCUGUGAUUUUUUUUGCUUUUCCUGUUGUAAAGUGAUAUACCAAAUAUAAAUACAGUAAAGUUGUCACGCUCGUCGUAAGAAUGAUGAGACGAAGGCGCAGCGUGCGUAGAGUUCCACAUGUUUAAUAAAGGAAACGCACCAAAACAAUACAGAACAAACGAA
rnacentral:lncRNA from 1 species